CAGAGGUUGCAGUAGUGUAAAGAUACGGAACUGUAUACAUGUAAUAUAGCUAUCCCAUUGUAGGUUAGCAAAGAAAAGUGGCACAUAGAGUACUAAAGUGUCAUACUCAUAGCACCUAGAAGAGUCCACAAGAAUUUGAGCCUGUGUCUGAAAUUAAACUAUAGAAGACAAGAAAAAGAAGCUAAGUAUGCCAAUCUUUGCCUCCCUGGUUCAGAGGUUGUGAAGCUCUGGGUCACUGGAGACAAGAAAAAGAAGCUAAGUGAGUCGACCUUUGCCACCCUGGUUCAGAGGUUGUGAAACUCUGGGUCAUUGGGACAGUGAGAACAAUGAGACAGUAUCAUACAAAGAUUUGGAUAAGCAUAUUCUUUUCAUUGUACAAAAAUUAAAAAAAAUCUGCCUUCCACAUUUAUUAUU
rnacentral:lncRNA from 1 species